UUCCUUCCACUCUUACAUUCAUUCCUGGCCUUAAAUUCUUGCAUGACUUGGGUUUCAACACCUCUAUUCAGUAUAAACCAUGAUGUUUUAUAUACAGUUAGAUUUCCUUUCUCCAAAUAGAUGGCUUCUUAUUUACUUUCAUAUUUCUCUGGAUCUUUCAUCUAGCAUUCUCUCACACUUCUUCUUCUUUAGGACUUAUUUUUGUUGAGUCCCGCCAUUAAAUUUUUUUGGUAAGGACACUAGAUAUUU
rnacentral:lncRNA from 1 species